rnacentral:tRNA from 1 species
GCCGACGUAGCUCAGUUGGCCAGAGCAUCGCACUUGUAAUGCGAGGGUCGUGGGUUCGAAUCCCACCGUCGGCU